UACGUAGGGCGCAAGCGUUGUCCGGAAUUAUUGGGCGUAAAGAGCUCGUAGGCGGUUUGUCACGUCGAUUGUGAAAGCCCCGAGGCUUAACCUCGGGUCUGCAGUCGAUACGGGCUAGCUAGAGUGUGGUAGGGGAGAUCGGAAUUCCUGGUGUAGCGGUGAAAUGCGUAGAUAUCAGGAGGAACACCGGUGGCGAAGGCGGCUCUCUGGACGGUGACUGACGCUGAGACGCGAAAGCGUGGGGAGCAAACAGG
rnacentral:rRNA from 1 species